GAUGAACGCUGGCGGCGUGCUUAACACAUGCAAGUCGAACGGAAAGGCUCCUGCUUGCAGGGGUACUCGAGUGGCGAACGGGUGAGUAACACGUGGGUGAUCUGCCCUGCACUUCGGGAUAAGCCUGGGAAACUGGGUCUAAUACCGGAUAGGACGAUGGUUUGGAUGCCAUUGUGGAAAGUUUUUUCGGUGUGGGAUGAGCUCGCGGCCUAUCAGCUUGUUGGUGGGGUAAUGGCCUACCAAGGCGUCGACGGGUAGCCGGCCUGAGAGGGUGUACGGCGUGACAGGAGAGGUAGGGCGGGCAGCCACAUGAGGGGGGGCAGGGGGGGGGAGGAACGGACGAGGGGCGCAGGCGGGAGGCGUCGGCGGGGGGUGGGGGAGGCGGGCCUUGGGGUGGGAACCUCCGUUCGCUGGGGAGGAAGCGCAAGGGGCGGUAGCGGGCGAAGAAGCACCGCCACACUACGAGACGGAAGCCGCGGUAAGACGCGGAACAGCCCACGUCUGAAC
rnacentral:rRNA from 1 species